CCUAAACAGGUUUUAAGAUGUGGGAAGAUUCCAUGUCUCUUGGCUCUGCCUUCUGGGCUUCUGCCUCUGGGUCAUCCUUCUUUUCUCACGAAAGAUCCACGUGUUUGCAGCCAAGUAGUUUUAUCAGCCUUCUUCUUGACAGCAGAGUUUGGGGGCUCUGACAGUCUUCUUUCAUUUUGCACUCUGUCCCCUACAGACCAAUCUGCCAGCACUGUGGGUGAAACAGCUUUCCCAAACCCUUUGCCUGUCCUCUGUGGGUUUCAGUGGGGCUCAUAGUCGAUUUGUCAAGAGCCAUACCCAUGAAUCUUUUAGAGAUAAACUCUACCUUUCUACCUUCAGCUCCUGCCAAGAUGGCCCCCAGGGUAACUCACUGAAGCUUCCCAGGGGCCCUAAGGUUUGGUGGAGAGGUUCUGCAUGGUACACCCUUAUAAUCUCUUGCAACAGACCUCUGUGUGACUCAUUGCUACUCCCAUCCUUUGAUCUUUAUGCAUAAUCACAAAAGACUGUACAGUUACACCCUAUGCCACAUGCUCAGAAGCCAUUUGUUAAUUUCAGCAUCUUUUGCCAUGUGGGGAGACUGACAAUUUUCAAAAUCAUCAAGUCCUGAUUCAAUUUUAACAGUUUAAAAACCAGUCUGUUUCUCAAUUUAUCUCUCUUCUCUCACACUAUAUUAUAAGCAGUAAGAAGAAACCAGGCAGCAUCCUCAACAUUUUACUUGGAAAUCUCCUCAACUGCAUACCCAAUUUAUCACUUACAUGAUGUGUUUUCCACAUAACUGCAGGAGACCACUUUUCUAAGCUUUCUGCUCCUACCUAACAAGGAUCCCUGUCCUCCAGCUUCUAGUGCGAAAAUCCUCACUGCCUUUGAGCAGUGGCGAGUCCUCCAAGCCCAGAUAUCUAGCAACAGUCUGCUCACCUUAGAGUCUGUCUGUCACCACCUGGGCCAUUUCUAAGGGACCAGAGCUUUCCUCUGAGAUGAGGCUUUGAGCUGAGGAGCCACAUGAUCUGACAUGGUUAAGGAUGCCUCUGGCUUCCCUGUUGAGAAUAGACUGAAGGGGCAAAAAUGGAAGCAGAAGAGCAGUUAGGAGGUUCCUGUCAAACCCACGUGGAAGGCAGGCUCUGGGCUGUGUUACUGGACUAACACUAACACCGUCCCCUUGCACUUCUGAGGGUCCCUGGAACUUCCCCAGGGGAUGAGACUCCUGGCUAGCAGGACUCAGCCCCUCCCCUUCAACUUUACUCAGGACCUGGUCUCCCCUCCUUAAGGUCUCUGGAGCCCAACGCACACUUCAGCCCACUCUCACAGGCAUUCUCUCUGUCCACAAAAUAUCACCGAAGAGUCUUCUGUGAGUGCAACAUGGUGUGAACACUGGGAGUACAAGGAGAAAUAAGACACAGUUGCUGUGCUGGAGAAGCUUGUGCCCAGUGGUGGUGAUACUGCCUGAGGUGAGACCACUAUGCCAGCACAGGAACAAAGACGGCAGGGGCACAGGGCAAUUCAGGGGUGCAGAUCUGGAGGCAUCCAAGAGGCUCCUAAGCCUCAGUGUAUAAACUGACAGGUCACAGCCUGCUCUAGGAAACACCUUCCUAAGGGUUGGAGUUAUCUCUGUGCAUCCCAUCCCCACCCCACCAAGCCGCCCUUGGCUCUGCCCUCAGGAGCUUCUGCUUGGCCUUGCUAAUUCCUCUCUUCUCCCUGAAGCUAGAGUGAGGUACCUCUUGGCAGCCUUUGUAUCUAGAGAGAGCCGUCCAAUAGAAACAUAAGGUGAGCAACAUGCUUAAUUUUAACAUUUCUAGUAGCUACAUUAAACAUUUUUAAGUGAAAUUAACUUUAAUAAUACAUUUACUUAACCCAAUAUAUCCAAAAGAUUAUCAUUUCAACAUGCAAUCCUAUUUUAAAAAUAACUAGUGAGGUACCUGACAAAAAAAAUCCCUUUUCAUACUAAGUCCAGAAGAUCUUUGUGUAUUUUAUACUCAUAGGACAUCUGAGUUUGGAUGUUACCUUUUUAUUGGAAAUAUGGGAUCUGUACUUAGAUUUCACUGAAUUUACAUUGAAAAGGUAGGUUCACAUACCCAAGUUGUCUCACACAUACCUAAAUGUUUUCUGGUAACUGGAUGGAGUAUCAGUUUUUAUAUUUAUCUUUGCAUUAGCUAAAAAACAAAUUAAUAGUUCAGGUCCUCAGCCGCACGCAGGCAGUUUUCUCCACCGUCCAAAUGGUUGCCCGAAUUCACCCAGACCCCGCCGUCCUCCGCUUUUUCAUGCAGACAUUCAAACAACUGCCUCCCUUCCUCCUGGCACCCCCAUCCCAUCGCCAGCAGCCUCCGAACCAGUUUCCCUCCUGUCCCCAUCUCAGCCACCCAUGACUCACACACACAUCUGUCUCCCCUGGCCCACUUUUCAUCUAGUCCUCAUAAUCUAUGCAUAAACAUUAACAUACCACAGAGUCAAUCUGCAUACUGAUUACUUCUGCUCUGGUCAAAUUCUUGCUUUCAGGAUCAGGAGGCUUUCUCCCCACACCAAACUGGGCCUGAGGAAAUAGUGUCUUGUCUUCCUGUCACCCCUCCCGUAGUUGCAUGUCUAAUGAGACAAGGGGUGUCUCAGGUGAAGCAGGACAGGGAGGAUGCCAGCACUUGGGUGGUAGAGGUUUGAGGAGUGCCUGUUGGGGGAUGUGUUGGGGAAGGAGGACUUUUCACAUAUGGCUCAUUGUGUCGGGAUGAUUUCGUUGUUAAAUAAGCACCUACAGGAUGAUUUCACAUUCCAUACUUCUAAGUUUUUAUAAUUUAAAUUCUUUCCGCCAGGCUGGGUUUUUUUUUUUUUUUCCAAACUUUAAAUCUGUGGCUAGAAUUGGUUUGAUUUACAUAAUCCUGCCCCUGAGAUUUAGCCCCACCCCUGAGAGCCCCCUCAGAGCCACCCACAGCCAGGACACCUCUGCUGGCCUCCCCUUCCCCAGCCUUCCAACUUGUGGCAGGCCCCUGGCUCUGGCCUCCCCCUAUAUGGGAAUGAGCCAGCUGCACCGCUGCUGACAGUGGCUGGGAUAAUCCUCCCUGAGCUGUUCCAAGGAUUAGUCCUGCUGCCCUGUGCCCAGCUCCCACACAACGGGGUUUCGGGGCUGUGGACCCUGUGCCAGGAAAGGAAGGGCGCAGCUCCUGCAAUGCGGAGCAGCCAGGGCAGUGGGCACCAGGCUUUAGCCUCCCUUUCUCACCCUACAGAGGGCAGGCCCUUCAGCUCCAUUCUCCUCCAAGGCUGCAGAGGGGGCAGGAAUUGGGGGUGACAGGAGAGCUGUAAGGUCUCCAGUGGGUCAUUCUGGGCCCAGAGAUGGGUGCUGAAGCUCCCACACCUGCCUGUGAAAAUGGAUUCCUCUCUCACCUGGGAGAGCCAGGUGCUGCCCCGAGAAGGAUGCAUUUAUGGCUUCAUGAAGUCUUUCCUGACCCCCGAUGCUGCUGACUAUAGAGACAAAGUCUCACUAUGUUGCUCAGGCUGGUCUUGAACUCCUGGCCUCAAGCGAUCCUCCCACCUUAGCCUCCCAAAGUGUUGGGAUUAUAGACAUGAGCCACUGCACCUGGCCAACCUUGGGCAAGUUCUUAAACCCUUCAAAGCCUCAUUUUUCUCCAAUCAUAAAAGGGAAAGAUGGUAAUAUUUUCCCCGCCAAAUUCUUGUAAGUAUUAAACAUUGUAUAUGUAUUUUGAACACGAUUAAGCUCUAAACACUUGUUAGGAAGCAGGAGUAGCAUUUGAAACAAACAGCUCUUUUCCCACAGGUCGGAUGCCCUCACAGAAUUGAGAUUAUGUACGUAAAACACCAGGUGCCUAACCCGGCACAGAGCAGGAGGGCUAAGCGUGACAUCCAGCAUGUGGUCAGUGGAAUCCAGUAUUCCUACCCACCUCUCUAGUCUCCCCUCCACCCCUCUCCCUUUCAGAGGCACCAAGCUGCUUGUGGUCUUGUCUAUUCCCACUCCCUGCCCGACUGAACAUUUUCUCUACCUCCUGAUCAUCAGCAGCAGAAACUGGCUGCUCUUCCUCCUGGGUAGACAGCCAGACUGUAUUUCCCAGCUGCCCCUGCAGUGAGAUGUGGCCAUCGGAGCCAGCAUUGGCCAAUGGACUCUGCAUGGGAGUGACGCAUGCUGCCUCCAGGCUUGUCUCUAAAACCUCCCACGUGUCCUCCACCUGCUCUUCCCACCUCCAAGGAGCACGGCAAUUGUGGAAGACCCAGAUUAGUGAUGGCAGAACCAUAGAUGGGAGGAACCUGGGUCCCUGACUUAAAGUAUCAUGGAUUUGGAUGUUCCCUUAGUGAGAAAUAAACUUCCAUUGUGUUUAAGCCUUUAUUUGUUUAUAGUUGGUUACAGCAACUGCCUUCUUUUAAUUAAAACACUCCUGCUGCUUCAAGUUGCUGGAAUGCUUGUAACCCUGCCCUGCUUCACCAGGGUAACUCCUACUUGGCCUUUAAGUUUAUCUCUGCUGUCACACCGUCCAGAAAGCCUUCUCCCAG
rnacentral:lncRNA from 1 species